UACGUAGGGUGCGAGCGUUAAUCGGAAUUACUGGGCGUAAAGCGUGCGCAGGCGGUUUUGUAAGCCAGAUGUGAAAUCCCCGGGCUUAACCUGGGAAUGGCAUUUGGGACUGCAAGGCUUGAGUGCAGCAGAGGAGACUGGAAUUCCUGGUGUAGCAGUGAAAUGCGUAGAUAUCAGGAGGAACACCGAUGGCGAAGGCAGGUCUCUGGGCUGACACUGACGCUCAUGCACGAAAGCGUGGGGAGCAAACAGG
rnacentral:rRNA from 1 species